rfam:Oryza brachyantha chromosome 5, whole genome shotgun sequence.
CCCCUUGAUGAUGAAAAUAUGAUGUCAUACAUCCUUGUCAGGCUUGAAGAUGACUAUGAGCCCGCCAUUUCUUCUUUGGUAGGCAAAGCUGAAGCAUUUCCUGUUGCUAAAAUUUACUCUCAACUUUUGAGUUUUGAAA